rnacentral:rRNA from 1 species
GACGAACGCUGGCGGCGUGCCUAAUACAUGCAAGUUGAGCGCUGAAGGUUGGUCCUUGUACCAACUGGAUGAGCAGCGAACGGGUGAGUAACGCGUGGGGAAUCUGCCUUUGAGCGGGGGACAACAUUUGGAAACGAAUGCUAAUACCGCAUAAAAACUUUAAACACAAGUUUUAAGUUUGAAAGAUGCAAUUGCAUCACUCAAAGAUGAUCCCGCGUUGUAUUAGCUAGUUGGUGAGGUAAAGGCUCACCAAGGCGAUGAUACAUAGCCGACCUGAGAGGGUGAUCGGCCACAUUGGGACUGAGACACGGCCCAAACUCCUACGGGAGGCAGCAGUAGGGAAUCUUCGGCAAUGGACGAAAGUCUGACCGAGCAACGCCGCGUGAGGGAAGAAGGUUUUCGGAUCGUAAAACUCUGUUGGUAGAGAAGAACGUUGGUGAGAGUGGAAAGCUCAUCAAGUGACGGUAACUACCCAGAAAGGGACGGCUAACUACGUG